rnacentral:rRNA from 1 species
AUUGAACGCUGGCGGCAGGCCUAACACAUGCAAGUCGAACGGUAACAGGAAGCAGCUUGCUGCUUCGCUGACGAGUGGCGGACGGGUGAGUAAUGUCUGGGAAGCUGCCUGAUGGAGGGGGAUAACUACUGGAAACGGUAGCUAAUACCGCAUAAUGUCGCAAGACCAAAGAGGGGGACCUUCGGGCCUCUUGCCACCGGAUGUGCCCAGAUGGGAUUAGCUUGUUGGUGGGGUAACGGCUCACCAAGGCGACGAUCCCUAGCUGGUCUGAGAGGAUGACCAGCCACACUGGAACUGAGACACGGUCCAGACUCCUACGGGAGGCAGCAGUGGGGAAUAUUGCACAAUGGGCGCAAGCCUGAUGCAGCCAUGCCGCGUGUAUGAAGAAGGCCUUCGGGUUGUAAAGUACUUUCAGCGGGGAGGAAGGGAGUAAAGUUAAUACCUUUGCUCAUUGACGUUACCCGCAGAAGAAGCACCGGCUAACUCCGUG